GCGGGUGUAGCUCAAUGGUAGAGCGCUGGCUUCCCAAGCCAGUUACGUGGGUUCGAUUCCCAUCAUCCGCUCCA
rnacentral:tRNA from 1 species